AAACUGACUUCCAAAUACCGAUAUCUGGUUUGAUUUUGGUGAGGUGAAGGUUGAUUGUUUGUUGUCUUUUAAAGGGUAGAAGGAAGGGUAAUUGUAAUUUGUGAAUGCCAUACUUCUCCUGCUUAAUCUCUUAUGUGUUUCGAAAUAAAAAAUGGUGUGACUUGAUAUGAUGUGAACAGCAAGAGGUAUUUCUAUAUCUUUGAUGAAGAACUUGUGGGAUUCUUUUCCCCUCUCGUUAAUCUGGGCUAAUUUAUUUAUUUUUCAAAAUAGUAUUAUUUUAUUAAAAAAAACUUAUUGAUUUUGAUUUGAUCGAGUUUUGUAAAAUUAAGUGCAUCACAAACCAUAUCAUUAAAUUAUCUAAAUUUAGUUAGUUAAAUAUCAAAAUUAAUUUAAAUUAAAAUAUAUCAUUCAAACCCAUAAUUAAAAUUCACCAGAUCAACCUACCAUGGUAGCCGGGUUUAAUAAAUGGUUGCAAGUGAAAAUGUUAACCGGUCUUCUCUAAAAGAUGAAAUUAGCCUCCGUUCUAAAAAAAAGAAGAAGAAGAAACAUUAUCCUAACUAUCUUUUCAUUUUUGAGACCCAAGUCCUAGCCCAAGACUGAAAAAUCCUCUCACUCAUUUCUGGCGGGAGCCAAACGCCAUUGUCUAUCUACAGAUUCGCACGGAGAAAGGGAAGGGGUUUACUUCUAGUGGCGGCUAAAAGACUUUCUCUAUACAUAAUGGGGUCUGAAUCAACUCUCCCCGAGUGGGCUCAAAGCCUUGGAUUAUGGGUAUAGAUGAAGCUGGUCGUGUUCCAGUUCUUGGCACUUUAUUGCUCGACCUAUGGUGUACGGAUGCUUGUACUGUGCUCGCUCAUAUGAGAAGACUCUCUCUACCCUCAGCUUUGCAGGUUUU